rnacentral:snRNA from 1 species
AUACCUUCCUCGGCCUUUUGGCUAAGAUCAAGUGUAGUAUCUGUUCUUAUCAGUUUAAUCUGAUACGUGGGCUAUUGGCUCACACGAUAUUAAAUUUAUUUUUUAACGGGGAGAUUCUAUAACAGUAGCUUGCUACUGGGGCUCUCGAGCGUAGCCCAGGCGUUGCACUAUAGCUCGGAUCCGGCGCACUCCAC